GAUUAAAUGGCUGAAUUAUAGGCAAUAAAUUGUAAAUUUAUGUAUGAGAAAUUAUCUCUUUAAUCA
rnacentral:tRNA from 1 species